AUGAAGCUUCUGUUCCAUAAGAUGGAUCACCUAUUUCCUUUUGUUUUUACUUUGGUGCCUACUUUCAUUUUUGUGAACUCGACUUGGCUCAUCCUGCCACGAUCCUUAGCUUUCUAUAUUUACAAAUUUUGCUGUCAUAUGUUGUUUGAAACUGAAAUCUCUAGAGUUUCAGCACACUGUAAAAAAAGAAUUUUGCUGAACACUAACCAGCCGGUUGGAAUGUUUAAGCCUGCUCUGGUACAGAGUGCACCGUGCAUACAGCAGAACCAAGUGGCUUCGACUGUACGGUGUGGUUGCAGGCAGGCAACUAGUCUAGUGGCUGCCUAG
rnacentral:rRNA from 1 species